rnacentral:rRNA from 1 species
GACGAACGCUGGCGGCGUGCUUAACACAUGCAAGUCGAACGGAAAGGCCCUGCUUUUGUGGGGUGCUCGAGUGGCGAACGGGUGAGUAACACGUGAGUAACCUGCCCUGGACUUUGGGAUAACUUCAGGAAACUGGGGCUAAUACCGGAUAGGAGCUCCUGCUGCAUGGUGGGGGUUGGAAAGUUUCGGCGGUUGGGGAUGGACUCGCGGCUUAUCAGCUUGUUGGUGGGGUAGUGGCUUACCAAGGCUUUGACGGGUAGCCGGCCUGAGAGGGUGACCGGCCACAUGGGGACUGGGAUACGGCCCAGACUCCUACUGGAGGCAGCAGUGGGGAAUAUUGCACAAUGGGCGGAAGCCUGAUGCAGCAACGCCGCGUGCGGGAUGACGGCCUUCGGGUUGUAAACCGCUUUCGCCUGUGACGAAGCGUGAGUGACGGUAAUGGGUAAAGAAGCACCGGCUAACUACGUG